AUUCGUGGUUAUCCUCAAACGUCUAAAAACGAAUCGGCCCAAUCAACGCAAUCAUCAUCGGCUGGUGACAGGGAAUUUGUUGCUUCAGCUGCAGACGUUUAAUAUGAUCGAGUGACCCAAGUUGAUCACGGAUUUAAGAUAACCCUGACGGUGGCGGUCCGACCGAAGAAAUAUGAAUUUUAUGUUGGUUGUAGAGCUCAAUGUGCAGUCUAUCGCAAUAUCUGCU